GUAAUCAGAUGAUGAGAUGGACGAAGGUGAAGAUAAUUUCUGAUGUGGCAAACAGGCAAUCACUCCAUCAGCUCCCAGUGGGUGUGUGGUCAGAUGGAGUGAUUGCCUGUUUGCCACAUCAGAAAUUAUCUUCACCUUCGUCCAUCUCAUCAUCU